AUAUUGGAGCUGACCCCCUCUACGCCUAGAGUCCAGCAACAUAUUGACCUUAUAAGCAGGCGAUCCGUCGAUUUCCAAAGGUGGCGGUGGCUCUUGAUGCUCGGCGUUGGGGUCAGCGUCCGGGUGAAAGGGUUUAAAGAGAGACGCAUGAAAAGGAGAAAUACGAUAAGUGGCAGCAGGCUCAAGUUCAUAAGUGACUUCAUUGAUUUGUCUAGUGAUCUUGAAAGGGCCAACAUACCUGGGGCUUAGCUUCCUGCUAGGUAGCCGUAGCUUGAGGUCCCUCAUGGAGAGCCAGACCUAUUGUCCUGGUUGGUAGGGAGGGUGCAGACGGCGUGGUCGGUUGGCCUGGAAACCUUGUGUCCUGACAGCCCUUUGUAGAUGGAUGGGAACACUGUUCCACACCCUCUCACUACGCCUGAUCCAGCCGUCCACUGCUGGGACAGAUGAAGGUUCUCCUGAACACGCUAACAGAGGAGGCUGAUAUCCCAGAACACACUGGAAGGGGGUUAGUCCUGUAGAAGAAUGUGUCAGGGAAUUGAGCAUAUUCGGCCCAUGGAAGGAAUUCUGCCCACCGAUGUUGUUCUCGGCUACAAUAACUCCGCAAAUAUCUUCCAAUUUCCUGGUUGAGUCGUUCAACUUGUCCAUUAGACUGAGGGUGGUAGCCUGAGGUGAGACUUACAUUUAUGUCAAGCUGCUUACAGAAAGCUUUCCAGACUCGUGAAGUGAAUUGAGUUCCUCUGUCAGAAACUAUGUCUUCAGGCAGACCAUAGAUUCUGAAGACAUGGUGGAAAAGAGACUGUGCCGUUUCUAUGGCUGUGGGGAGACCCUUGAGGGAUAUUAGUCAGCUUGAUUUAAAGAACCGGUCAAUGAUCACCAGAAUGGUAGUGAAUCCAUCAGAGUGAGGUAGGUCAGUGAGGAAGUCGAUCGAUAGAUGUGUCCAGGGGCGUUGUGGAAUGGGUAAUGGAUGUAGCAGGCCGGAGGGCAGUUCUUUGGGGGUCUUUGAUUGGGCACAAACUUGACAUGUCUUGACAUAAGUGGUAACAUCUCUACUCAUUGAAGGCCACCAGAAAGAAUUCUGUAGCAGGUUGAUUGUGUGCAAGAUCCCUGGAUGACCUGAACAUAGAGUUGUGUGAACCCACUGCAUGACUCGGUGGCGAAGAGCAUGGGGUAAGUAAUGCUUGGUUGGGGGGGGCAGUCGGCUGGUGGUGGUUCUUGCUGAUGGGCUCGUUGAAUUUCCUCCAUGAUGUCCCAAGUAACUGGUGCGAUGAUGACGGAUAGGAGCAGUAUAGUUCCAGGUGGACCAGGAAUGACAAGAGAGUCAUGGCGUCUUGACAGAGCAUCUGCUUUACUGUUCUUACUUCCGGGUCUGUAUGUGACUGUGAACCGGAAAUGUGUAU